GAUCUUCCCCAACCCAGGCAGGAAUCAAACCCAUGUGCUUCCUGUGGCUCCUGAACUGCAGUGGGUUGAAUGGUGGCCCCCAGAAGAUAUGUCCAUGUCAAGUUCCUGGAACCCGUGAAUUGAUGUUAUUUGGAAAAAAGGUUCUUUGCAGAUGUCAUUAAGUUAAGGAUCUCAGGCUAAGGAUAUCUUUUUGAAUUACCUGGGUGAAUCCUAAGUCCAAUGAUGCUGGAAUGGAGGCAUGAAAUGGAAUGUGUCAUUUCAGAGAGGGAUACAGCUUCCAGGCUUUCUUAUAUUUAGCAUGAAGCAUUUAUAUUCUGAGCAAGAAGACGUGAUCAGAGCUUGCUGUGGGAGGCUGUGGAAAUUCUUUAGGCAAUUCAGUCAUGUAUCAGCAGAGCUCACAUGCAGCUCUUGUGCGCUGGCACAGCUGUAUGGAUUGUUUAUGGCUGGCAUCUGUUCUAAUAGGCCUUUCUGACUC